AUUCCAGAAGCUAUUGAAAAAGUACACGGUUUCUGCCUAGGUAAUAAUAGUGUAGGUUCAGGAUUUUAAUGGAGUCAAGUCCUUCAAGCUAUGAGAGAACCACCAAUACUAUGAUCAAGUGCAAGGACAGCUUCAUAUAAUUGGGAAAUCCUUGUGUGAUUUUAUGGUCUGGACACCAAAAGACUGUGCGAUUGUGAGAAUUAACAAAGACAUCAAUUGGGAGAUCAACAUAUCUGUUUUGACAGACUUUUAUUUCUGUAAAUUUCUCCCGUAUUUACAACAGCUAUAAGAUAUAACAUUAAACAUGGUGAAAACAUUUUAA